GACUAAGCCACCCAGGCGCCCCUGUCUGAUCCCACUUCUAAAUAAACAUUAAUAAAAUAAUUAAAUAUAAAUAAAGCUGCACCCAUGUGGAAAUAGAAGAUAAUCUGUAGAUUCUGGAAGGAGUUGGUCAUAGAGACAUUACAGCUGAAGACAAUACUUCCAUCCAUGGAUGAAUUGUUGGAUCACCUGCUGUGACAGAGACUAUGCAGUAGCAUUUAAAACUCGGGACAGGACAAGGGUGCCUGGGUGACUUAGUCAGUUAAGCACCCGACUCCAGCUCAGGUCAUGA